AGCGAACGCUGGCGGCAGGCCUAACACAUGCAAGUCGAACGAACCUUUCGUGGUUAGUGGCGGACGAGUGAGUAACACGCGGGAACGUGCCUAUAGGUUCGGAAUAACUUAGCUAAACUUUCUCUAAUACCGAAUGUGCCCUUCAGGGGAACGAUUUAUCGCCUUUAGAGCGGCCCGCGUCUGAUUAGCUAGUUGGUUGAGGUUAUGGCUCACCGACGCGACGAUCAGUAGCUGGUCUGAGAGCAGGAUUAGCCACAUUGGGACUGAGACACCGCGUCAAGUCCUACGUGAGACAGCAGUAGAGAAUCUUACGCAAUGGGCGAAAGUCUGACGCAGCCAUGCCGCGCGAAUGAUGAAGGUCUUAGGAUUGUAAAAUUCUUUCACCGGGGACGAUAAUGACGGUACCUGGUGAAGAAGCCCCGGCUAGCUUCGUG
rnacentral:rRNA from 1 species